UCAACAAUUGGAUAAUCGGAAAACAUAUGCAAACUUUGUCCUGGUGCAAAUGAAGCAAAAACGAGUGAUAUGGAAAUAACUAGCCAGUUGGGCAGAGUGAGGUGCCAGUGACCGAAGUAAAAUUGUUGCUAUUUUCUGUGAGCGGGUUGAGUCAACUAUCUCUAUUUUAAAAAGAGGGACUAUUAUUGCAAUAAGCAGAAAGUUGGAAAUUCAUUAUAAUGGUUAGGAAAAAAGCAAGGACUAUAGUUGCCAAAGUAUGAAAGUGGUGUUAAUUCCACCACUAGAAGACAAAACGAAAGAAAACAUAUGCAGAUCUUAUAAUUCUCGUUGAAUUAGGAAUUGUUGACUUUUUGGGCUGCACAUGUUACGUGAGAUAUGGGCUGUGUUUGUUUUGUGGGCUAACUCAUCGUAAAGAGUAAAAAAAAGGGAGGCUGCAUAUAAUAUAAAAAAACAAGACGGCUGGUAAAAAGAGAUACGCAACAUCGACAUUAGACAUAAGAUCAGAGGCAGUUGGACGAAUUUGAAGGAGAUCUUUGGCGAAAGAAUUCAAGGCUAGGAAUCAUUGGAAGCGAGCGGGUUUGAAGCUUACGGGUUCUAUCUUCUCAGUUUCUUUUGUUUUCUUAGUUCUUUGUUCUUUGUUCUUUAAUUCAAUGAACUCAGUUAUGCGACUUUGUUUAUUUGUUUUUAAGACCAUGAUUCUUGGCUAAAAUUUUAAGCCACCUAGAUUUGAUAAAUGGAUUAAUAUAAAGUUUUUACCGUUUUUGUUAA